rnacentral:rRNA from 1 species
CCUACGGGCGGCAGCAGUGAGGAAUAUUGGUCAAUGGCCGGAAGGCUGAACCAGCCAAGUCGCGUGCGGGACGACUGCUCUAUGGGUUGUAAACCUCUUUUAUACGAGGAUAAACAAUGCUACGCGUAGCUUGCUGCCUGUAUCUUAUGAAUAAGCAUCGGCUAACUCCGUGCCAGCAGCCGCGGUAAUACGGAGGAUUCAAGCGUUCUCCGGAUUUAUUGGGUUUAAAGGGUGCGUAGGCGGUCUUUUAAGUUAGUUGUUAAAUCGCGAGGCUCAACCUCGGAAUUGCCUUUGAUACUGUUAGGCUAGAGAGCAGAUGAGGUAGGCGGAAUGUAUGGAGUAGCGGUGAAAUGCUUAGAGAUAACACAGAACACCGAUUGCGAAGGCAGCUUACCAAGCUGCUACUGACGUUGAGGCACGAAAGCGUGGGGAGCGAACAGGAUUAGAUACCCGGGUAGUC